CCUACGGGAGGCAGCAGUCGAGAAUUUUUCUCAAUGGGGGAAACCCUGAAGGAGCGACGCCGCGUGGAGGAUGAAGGUCUUCGGAUUGUAAACUCCUGUCAUGAGGGAGCAAGACACUGUGUUAACUGCAAGGGUGUUUGAUAGUACCUCAAGAGGAAGAGACGGCUAACUCUGUGCCAGCAGCCGCGGUAAUACAGAGGUCUCGAGCGUUGUUCGGAUUCAUUGGGCGUAAAGGGUGCGUAGGCGGCUAGGUAAGUCAGAUGUGAAAUUCCGGGGCUCAACCGCGGAACUGCAUUUGAUACUGCUUGGCUAGAGUACUGGAGAGGAGACUGGAAUUUACGGUGUAGCAGUGAAAUGCGUAGAUAUCGUAAGGAAGGCCAGUGGCGAAAGCGAGUCUCUGGACAGUAACUGACGCUGAUGCACGAAGGCUAGGGGAGCAAACGGGAUUAGAUACCCUUGUAGUC
rnacentral:rRNA from 1 species